AUGACGCAACACAAAAAUUCAUGUGAGGACAAAAGACGUCCCACUCACUCGAUGGCUAAAGACCAACUCUGCGUUGAUAACA